rnacentral:tRNA from 1 species
ACACUGGUACUGUAAUGGUGUAGCAUUCUGCCCGGAAAGCAGAGGAUGCGGGUUCGAACCCCGUCUAGCGCA